rnacentral:rRNA from 1 species
AGCGUAGGUGGCUUUUCAAGUCGGAUGUGAAAUCUCCUGGCUUAACUGGGAGGGGUCAUUCGAUACUGUUGAGCUAGAGGACAGCAAGGGAAGGUGGAAUUCCGGGUGUAGUGGUGAAAUGCGUAGAUAUCCGGAGGAACACCAGUGGCGAAGGCGGCCUUCUGGGCUGUUUCUGACACUGAGGCUCGAAAGUGUGGGGAGCGAACAGGAUUAGAUACCCUGGUAGUCCACACCGUAAACUAUGGACACUAGGUAUAGGGAGUUUCGACCCUCUCUGUGCCGAAGCUAACGCUUUAAGUGUCCCGCCUGGGGACUACGGCCGCAAGGUUAAA